GACGAACCGUGCGAACGUUAUUCGGAAUCACUGGGCGUAAAGCGCACGUAGGCGGCUUUUUAAGUCAGGGGUGAAAUCCUGGAGCUCAACUCCAGAACUGCCUUCGAUACUGGAGAGCUUGAGUCCGGGAGAGGUGAGUGGAACUGCGAGUGUAGAGGUGAAAUUCGUAGAUAUUCGCAAGAACACCAGUGGCGAAGGCGGCUCACUGGCCCGGUACUGACGCUGAGGUGCGAAAGCGUGGGGAGCAAACAGG
rnacentral:rRNA from 1 species